rnacentral:tRNA from 1 species
GGGCUUGAAGCUUUGGCAGCGAAGCAACCGCCUCUUAAGCGGAAGAGCAGGGUGCAUGUCCCUGCGAGCCCA